rnacentral:rRNA from 1 species
AUCUACGGCCAUGCCACCCUGAACAAGCUCAAUCCCAUCUGAUCUCAGAAGCUAAGCAGGGUCAGGCCUGGUUAGUACUUGGAUGGGAGACCACCUAGGAAGACCAGGUGCUGUAGGCA